ACUCAAAGGAAUUGACGGGGGCCCGCACAAGCGGUGGAGCAUGUGGUUCAAUUCGAAGCAACGCGAAGAACCUUACCAGCCCUUGACAUGCCUCGACGGUUUCCAGAGAUGGGAUCCUCCCCGCAAGGGGCGGGGACACAGGUGCUGCAUGGCUGUCGUCAGCUCGUGUCGUGAGAUGUUGGGUUAAGUCCCGCAACGAGCGCAACCCUCGCCCUUAGUUGCCAUCAUUCAGUUGGGCACUCUAAGGGGACUGCCGGUGAUAAGCCGGAGGAAGGUGGGGAUGACGUCAAGUCCUCAUGGCCCUUACGGGCUGGGCUACACACGUGCUACAAUGGCGGUGACAGAGGGACGCAAAAGAGGUAACUCUGAGCAAAUCUCAAAAAGCCGUCUCAGUUCGGAUUGUGCUCUGCAACUCGAGCACAUGAAGUUGGAAUCGCUAGUAAUCGCAGAUCAGCACGCUGCGGUGAAUACGUUCCCGGGCCUUGCACACACCGCCCGU
rnacentral:rRNA from 1 species